GGAGGUAUCAUAGAAUGCCAGCCUGUGAAGCUGAGGAACUGAGUUCAAACCCCAGUACCACCA
rnacentral:tRNA from 1 species